rnacentral:rRNA from 1 species
GACAGAGGGUGCAAACGUUGUUCGGAAUUACUGGGCGUAAAGCGCAUGUAGGCGGUUCGUAAAGUCAGAUGUGAAAGCCCUGGGCUUAACCCAGGAAGUGCAUUUGAAACUCACGAACUGGAGUCCCGGAGAGGAAGGCGGAAUUCUCGGUGUAGAGGUGAAAUUCGUAGAUAUCGAGAGGAACAUCUGUGGCGAAGGCGGCCUUCUGGACGGUGACUGACGCUGAGACGCGAAAGCGUGGGGAGCAAACAGG